CAUGAGGCCUUAAAUGAGGUUUCAUGAGGCCUUAAAUGAGGCCUUAAAUGAGGUCUCAUGAGGUCUUAAAUGAGGUCACAUGAGGCCUUAAAUGAGGUCUUAAAUGAGGUCUUAAAUGAGGUCGCAUGAGGUCUUAAAUGAGGUCUUAAAUGAGGUCUCAUGAGGCCUUAAAUGAGGUCUCAUGAGGUCUCAUGAGGUUUUAAAGGCAAAGCUGCCAACUUCCAAUGAGACGCCAUUACUUGCCUUUGGUUGCACAAUUCCUAGCAGCUCAGGUAAGAAAUUGGCAUCAGAUGCUUAGAGUAUAAAAUCCUGGUUAUGUAGUGAGACACUUAAAGGCGCUUACAAAUUGUGAAAGUAAAUGUUAUUGUGUUAAGGGUAGGUGUGGUGUUAGACAUUAAUAAGGUCAUCAUCAAAAAAAAAAUCAAAAUGGUCUUAUAACAGACUUAUUGUGAGUGCUGAAUAUCACAUGAAUAUCAUAAAGAUGACUUUAUCUAAGUCAGUAAAUGAGGUGGAUUAUUUUUAGUUGCUUGGUCUGAUGUAAAUCUACACCCGUAGCAUUUUUUUGUGAAACCUGCCAGUUGUACUAUGAUUUGUAUAGUAUAUUAUUAUAGAACAGCUUUGUAGUAAUAUUACUGUAAAUCACAAUUGCAUUAUGAGACAGAACGAAAACAGCAUCUUACUGCAUAGAAAUGAUGUCCUCCAUAGUAUUGCUCCAACUGCAUUGUGGACGAAUACAACCUUAGAGUGAAAAGCUUGCUAGGGGUUCAGGCCUCUAUAAAGAGAAUUGGGACAAUGUGCAUUUUUAAUGACGCCAUAUUAACUAAUGCAAUUUAUUGAAAUUGAGAAGUAGAAAAAGAGCUGGUCAGGUGCCAGUGUGUUUACAGGUGUAGGAUAUGUAGAAUUUCACAAAAAAAAGCUACAGUGCUUACAUUUUGGUUUAUGAACUUCGCAGUCUAUUUAAUUUACCAUAGCAUACAGACUUCAUCGUUAUGAGUCAAACCCAUUAUCUUAGUGCUGCUUUAUCGACUGCCCUACCUGUUGAGCUACAAAAUGAUUUGAAAAUUAUUACUCCAAUAUCCCCUCAUGAAUUUAAAAUACAAAACAAAAACACCAAAAGUUAAUGAAAAGAACACUAGAAAAAAAGCUAAAAUCUGUUGGAUUGUACCUUUUUCAGAAUUCCUUGGGUAGACUUGCAAUGUACCUGAACAACAUUUUAAUUCAAUCAAAACUACAGAACUAUAGAACAAAAUGGCUUACUGCAUUAAAAUGCUUUGACAUUAAUAAAGAAUAAAAAAUUAUAUAACUAAUUAUAUAACAAUUUUUAACAUAAACACAGGCUUUUCUAACAGUACAUUUCUAUUUGAAAUGGAUGUUACAGAAUUAAUUUGGCAUUAGGAUGCAUAUAUCUACUACAGGUUUACAUCAUCAUUCACAGUAUUACUUCUUACACCAUUCCACAAGUCGUAAUUAAAAAUGUGUUAUAACUCAUAAGCUAACCACACAAAAAAGGCCUGACUUUCCAAAUGGGUCAUUUGACCCAUACAUUUUCCCAUAAUGCAAUUGUGAGCUUCAGCAAUUCCCUGCAUAACAGUACUACAGAACUAUCACAGAACAUAAACCUGAUCAACUGGUCAACAGGACCACAUUAAAGGAAAUAUGUUUUACCUGAAAAGUUGUGCGCCAAUGCCGAUUUUACAAAUGCAUUGGACAGAAUCAAUAUAGCCACAACAUGAAAUAAACCAUAAUGUACCAAAGUGUUUCAUCGAAGAACUUAAGUUUAAAGGCUGUGGUAAUUUUGAAAGUUUACCAGAAAAUGUGAAAUCUCCAAAAGUGUGAGCUGUCUAGUUGAAAGUUUAGGAUGGCCGACUCUAAAGCGGUUCCACACAAUGACAGGGUUCAAGACCUUUCGAGGCAUUUGUUAAACAGUAAAACACACUCCAGACUUACCUAACCUAAAAACUAUUAUUAAUAACCUUCUUACUACAACUGCUGUGUCCCUGAGCUAAGUGCACUCAGAAAGAACCACUGGGAGGUGUAAUGGUUGGAUCAUUUAAGCCUGUCUGUAUAUUAGGGUAGUUUAUUGGUGCUUCAAUAUGGUAAACAGUUGAUCACUAUAAAGCAACAUUACAAUCAUUUACUGACCAAUUGCUGCACAGUAAGAUACUGCUGUUUGGGUUUUACAGUAGGCUUAUUCCUAAUGUAUAUUCAAAAACUUCCAUUCAUAAAAUACUGAAAAAAAGUAUUAGUGACUUACUGUUGACUUUCGUGUGGGAAUUUAGCGGAGAUAAUGUAAAACUUGAAUACUAUGCCGAUAAACUAUGCCGAUAAAUUACUAGAAAAGAACUACGCUGUGUUACUGGUGCUAUAGUGGUGUUAUAGCUGUCAGAAACUUACUAUAGUUUUCACAGUAAAUGUUUUACAUUGCAACCUCCCAUAGCAUCUCAUAUCCAGGAGAGAGCAACAUUCCUGACAUUUACAGUGUGUACUUAAGACAUAACCGACAUUCCGGAGGUGAACAUGGACCAUAAAUAAAGACAUAUAUAUGUUUUGCAUAAACCUUUCUUGCGCUGUCUGACUGAUUGCCUGAAAAUGCAUACCUACAUCUAAUCUCUGUCACCACUUCAUACAAACACACUACUCACACUUAGCCUCUCUGACACACACACACACAGAGACACACACACACACACACACACACACACACACACACACACACACACACACACACACACACACACACACACACACACACACACACACACACACACACACAGACACACACACACACUGAUCAGAAGUGAUGAGUGAACGAAUGAAGU
ensembl:lncRNA